rnacentral:rRNA from 1 species
ACAAGGAUUCCCUCAGUAGCGGCGAGCGAACAGGGAAGAGCCCAGCGCUGAAUCCUCCGGGUGCAACGCCCGGUUGGACAUGUAGCGUUAGGGAGGGUCCGUUAACACGGCGCUGCGCUGCUCGCUCAAGUCCAACUUGAAAGGGGCUCCCGAGAGGGUGCCAGUCCCGUACAGCAGGAGCGCUCGCCGUGUGGAUCUCUCCUCAGAGUCGGUCUGCUUGAGAGUGCAGACCUAAGUGGGUGGUAAACUCCAUCUAAGGCUAAAUACGACCACGAGACCGAUAGCACACAAGUACCGUGAGGGAAAGGUGAAAAGAACUUUGAAGAGAGAGUUCAAGAGUACGUGAAACUGAAGUGGUGUAAACAGACGAGAACGGGAUAUCCGACCGGGGAGAUUCACGUCCGUCCGUGGCCGGGGGCCCGUCGGUUCGAGAUGGUGCGGUCUGCCUUGGGCCCCUCGGGGCGUCUUGGCUAAGCAUCGUAUCCACUCGUCCGGCGGGAUUUCGAUACCGGUGCGGUGGGCUGCACUUCUCCCCUAGUAGGACGUCGCGACUCGUUGGGAAGUCCGAUCAGAGGGCCCGCGGAGGAGCCCGUCUAGCCCGAGUACGACCCCAAAGUGGCGUGCUGAGGCGAAGCGGACCCGCGGUGGACCCGGUCGGCGCCCGACGGUAGCAAAGCUGGGAAGGGACCGCACAACUGAUGCUGCGUCCAGGACGGCCUCCUCGUGGGGCUGUCCGUCAGGACAGGUCCGGACCCGGUCAGCGGCGCUUCUGCUUCCGUCACUCGUCUGACCCGUCUUGAAACACGGACCAAGGAGUCUAACAUGUGCGCGAGUCAUUGGGCUCUGCGAAACCUAAAGGCGAAAUGAAAGUGAAGGCCAAGGCUUCGGCCGGCUGAGGGGUGAUGGUCAUUAUCCGGCUCAAACCGGAGGCCCGCAACCCCGGGGCGUCACGUUCUCGUUGAGAUGUGGCGCACCCAGAGCGCACACGUUGGGACCCGAAAGAUGGCGAACUUCGGAUGGCCAGGACGAAGUCAGGGGAAACCCUGAUGGAGGUCCGUAGCGAUUCUGACGUGCAAAUCGAUCGUCGGAGCUGUCUGAAGGGGCGAAAGACUAAUCGAGCCAUCUAGUAGCUGGUUCCCUCCGAAGUUUCCCUCAGGAUAGCUGGCGCUCACGGACUGAGAAGAGUCUCAUCCGGUAAAGCGAAUGAUUAGAGGCCUUGGGGCCGAAACGACCUCAACCUAUUCUCAAACUUUAAAUGGGUGAGAGCUCCGGCUUGCUUCGGUGAAGCCGCGAGUGUUCCGACUCGGAUCAGAGCGCCAAGUGGGCCAAUUUUGGUAAGCAGAACUGGCGCUGUGGGAUGAACCAAACGCAGAGUUAAAGCGCCUAAAUCGACGCUCAUGGGAAACCAUGAAAGGCGUUGGUCGCUUAAGACAGCAGGACGGUGGCCAUGGAAGUUGGAAUCCGCUAAGGAGUGUGUAACAACUCACCUGCCGAAGCAACUAGCCCUGAAAAUGGAUGGCGCUGUAGCGUCGUGCUUAUACUCUGCCGUCAGGGCAUGAUGGGUGCGGAGACGCGCCAUGAAGCCCUGACGAGUAGGAGGGUCGCGUCGGUGUGCGUAGAAGGGUCUGGGCGUGAGCCUGCCUGGAGCCGCCGACGGUGCAGAUCUUGGUGGUAGUAGCAAAUACUCCAGAGAGGCCCUGGAGGUCUGAGGUGGAGAAGGGUUUCGUGUGAACAGCCGUUGCACACGAGUCAGUCGAUCCUAAGCCCUAGGAGAAAUCCGAUGUCGAUGAGCGAGUCCGAUCGGCACACGUUGUUGUGACGACCCUCAUCGGGCGAAAGGGAAUUCGGUUCCUAUUCCGAAACCCAGUAUCGGAACCGUUCCAAGCGGGUCCUCGUAACUCGUCGAGGCGACUCGACAUGCCCCGGAGACGCCGUCGGGAGCUACCGGAAGAGUUAUCUUUUCUGUUUGAGUGCGCAUACCCCCUGGAAUUGCCUCGCGCAGAGAUAGGGAGCAGCGCAACGUAGAGCACCGCACUUGCGGCGGUGUCGGUAGCGUCCUCUCGGACCUUGAAAAUCCGGGUGAGGGCCACGUGGAACACCGAUCUGGUUCGUACCCAUAUCCGCAUCAGGUCUCCAAGGUAAAGAGCCUCUAGUCGAUAG